rnacentral:rRNA from 1 species
GCAUAUUAAUAAGCGGAGGAAAAGAAACUAACAAGGAUUUCCCUAGUAACUGCGAGUGAAGCGGAAAUAGCUCAAGCUUAAAAUCUACAAGUAUUAACUUAUUUGUCGAGUUGUAGCUUAUGGAGGCAGUUUUCUUUUCUACAUCAUAGUAAAAGUUCUUUUGAAUAAGACAUCAAAGAGGGUGAUAAUCCCGUAUUUGACUAUGUUUAGUAGAGAAAUGUGAACUGUUUUCUUUGAGUCGGGUUGUUUGGAAAUGCAGCCCUAAUUAGGAGGUAAAUUUCUUCUAAAGCUAAAUAUAAGCAAGAGACCGAUAGCAAACAAGUACCGUGAGGGAAAGAUGAAAAGCACUUUGAAAAGAGAGUGAAAAGUACGUGAAAUUGUUGAAAGGGAACCGGUUGGUAGCCAAGCAUCAUAGAUUAGGGGUAAGCGGGAUUUAUUCUGUUUAAAUCUUUUUUAUGGGGUCAACAUCGGUUGUGAUUGCCUGAGAGGAAUUUUCAAGCUAACGAAAGGAAGGUAGAGUAGUUGAUGGCCGGGGAUUUAUUUCUGGAAUCACGUCAAUUGCUUGUUAUAGACUUUCAUAAGCUUGGUUUACGCCUAGAGGUGAUUUCGACCGAGGAACGCAGUGUGGAGCAAUCCUAGCUGGAUUAAGGAGAAUAUGUUUUUGUACUUUUCAGACAGCUUGCUGACUGUUGAGAUACAAGAGUGUAUUUAAUUCUUUAUUCGGACUAAAAAACACUUUGGAUGUUGACGAAAAGGCACCAAUCGACCCGUCUUGAAACACGGACC